rnacentral:rRNA from 1 species
UUGAACGCUGGCGGCAUGCCUUACACAUGCAAGUCGAACGGCAGCACGGGAGCAAUCCUGGUGGCGAGUGGCGAACGGGUGAGUAAUAUAUCGGAACGUGCCCAGUCGUGGGGGAUAACUACUCGAAAGAGUGGCUAAUACCGCAUACGAUCUACGGAUGAAAGCGGGGGACCUUAGGGCCUCGCGCGAUUGGAGCGGCCGAUAUCAGAUUAGGUAGUUGGUAGGGUAAAAGCCUACCAAGCCUGCGAUCUGUAGCUGGUCUGAGAGGACGACCAGCCACACUGGAACUGAGAUACGGGCCAGACUCCUACGGGAGGCAGCAGUAGGGAAUAUUGGGCAAUGGAUGCAAGUCUGACCCAGCCAUGCCGCGUGCAGGAAGAAGGUCCUCUGGAUUGUAAACUGCUUUUAUCGGGGAAGAAUAGUUUUCUUGCGAGGGAAUGUGACGGUACCCGAUGAAUAAGCCACGGCUAACUACGUG